rnacentral:rRNA from 1 species
UUGGAGGGCAAGUCUGGUGCCAGCAGCCGCGGUAAUUCCAGCUCCAAUAGCGUAUAUUAAAGUUGUUGCAGUUAAAAAGCUCGUAGUUGAAUUUCGGGAUCAAUAUAUCGGUCGUGCCUUCGGUAUGUACUGGUAUUAUUGGUUUCUCCUUUCUGACAGACUAUGAUGUCAUUAAUUUGGUGUCAUGGGGAAUCAGGACUGUUACUUUGAAAAAAUUAGAGUGUUUAAAGCAGGCACACGCUUGAAUACAUUAGCAUGGAAUAAUGAAAUAGGACGUUUGACCCUAUUUUGUUGGUUUCUAGGAUCGACGUAAUGAUUAAUAGGGAUAGUUGGGGGCAUUAGUAUUCAAUUGUCAGAGGUGAAAUUCUUGGAUUUAUUGAAGACUAACUACUGCGAAAGCAUUUGCCAAGGAUGUUUUCAUUAAUCAAGAACGAAAGUUAGGGGAUCGAAGACGAUCAGAUACCGUCGUAGUCUUAACCAUAAACUAUGCCGACUAGGGAUCGGAUGAUGUUAAUUUUUUAAUGACUCAUUCGGCGCCUUACGGGAAAC